rnacentral:rRNA from 1 species
CAGUAGCCGCGGUAAUACAGAGGGUGCGAGCGUUAAUCGGAUUUACUGGGCGUAAAGCGUGCGUAGGCGGCUUCUUAAGUCGGAUGUGAAAUCCCUGAGCUUAACUUAGGAAUUGCAUUCGAUACUGGGAAGCUAGAGUAUGGGAGAGGAUGGUAGAAUUCCAGGUGUAGCGGUGAAAUGCGUAGAGAUCUGGAGGAAUACCGAUGGCGAAGGCAGCCAUCUGGCCUAAUACUGACGCUCAUGCACGAAAGCGUGGGGAGCAAACAGGAUUAGAUACCCCGGUAGUCCCUGUCUCUUAUAA